CACGUAGGGCGCAAGCGUUGUCCGGAAUUAUUGGGCGUAAAGAGCUCGUAGGCGGUCUGUUGCGUCCGCUGUGAAAACUCGGGGCUUAACCCCGAGCCUGCAGUGGAUACGGGCAGACUAGAGGUAGGUAGGGGAGUCUGGAAUUCCUGGUGUAGCGGUGAAAUGCGCAGAUAUCAGGAGGAACACCGGUGGCGAAGGCGGGACUCUGGGCCGAUACUGACGCUGAGGAGCGAAAGCGUGGGGAGCAAACAGG
rnacentral:rRNA from 1 species